AUUGAACGCUGGCGGCAUGCCUUACACAUGCAAGUCGAACGGUAACAGGUUAAGCUGCCGAGUGGCGAACGGGUGAGUAAUGUAUCGGAACGUGCCCAGUCGUGGGGGAUAACUGCUCGAAAGAGCAGCUAAUACCGCAUACGACCUGAGGGUGAAAGCGGGGGAUCGCAAGCCCUCGCGCGAUUGGAGCGGCCGAUAUCAGAUUAGGUAGUUGGUGAGGUAAAGGCUCACCAAGCCGACGAUCUGUAGCUGGUCUGAGAGGACGACCAGCCACACUGGGACUGAGACACGGCCCAGACUCCUACGGGAGGCAGCAGUGGGGAAUUUUGGACAAUGGGCGCAAGCCUGAUCCAGCCAUGCCGCGUGCGGGAAGAAGGCCUUCGGGUUGUAAACCGCUUUUGUCAGGGAAGAAAAGGUUCUGGCUAAUACCUGGGACUCAUGACGGUACCUGAAGAAUAAGCACCGGCUAACUACGUG
rnacentral:rRNA from 1 species